rnacentral:sRNA from 1 species
UAAAAUAGUUUACAAGCCACCAAAAGCAUGAGUUUAUUUAAAAAAAAAAUUAUUCGAAAGAGCAAAGGAGUUGCUACGCUUGCACGAACGUGGUAGGUAUUACCGUUUUCUUAUGCAACUCAUAAGGCAUUAUUAAAGAAAUUGCGCCAUAGAUCCAUAAACAAACACUAGCUCAUUUUUAUUGGAAGAAUAUUUGGUUUCCGGGAAAUAUUUCCAUCAUGUGUACCUAUGAGAUAUUUUCAUCCUAGAACCAUGACAACCAUACAACCAGCACAAGGUAAAACGAUUGUCAUUUCAUAAAUUCAUCAUAUUGUAUGUUAAAAAAUUUGAGGAGAUUAGGAGCCAUAUAUAGCAUGACAAAUAUUCAGGAGCAGCAUCUCAGUUUUGUCGUAAUAAAUUAAGCAUGAGCAAUUUCGAAA